GCAAGAGACCGCGGGGGUGGAAAAGGCCGCUCGCUCGAGAUUGCGCGCAGACCGGAUCUCACUACGUUGCCCAGGAUGGUCUUGAACUCCUGGACUCAAGCAAGCCUCUUGCCUCGGCCUCCUAAAAAGCUGGGAUGACAGGCAUGAGUCACCGUGCCCAGUCUUCAUUCUUUAAAUAUUUGGUAGAAUUCAUCAGUGAAGCCAUCUCAUCCGGGGCUUUUCUUUGUUGACAGAUUUUUUAUUACUGAUUCAAUCUCAUUCUAACUAUAGGCCCCCAAAUCAAGACUAAGUAGCCCUGCCACUGAAAAGGUUGAAAAUCAGUGAAAAAUGCAAAUAAAUGACUCUAGUAGAAGACUAAAUUCAUUGUAUGCCCUUGAGCAAGGGUUGAGCUCCUCAGUCAAAGAAGAGAGUCACCUUUUCCAGAAGAGAAUGCAGCUCAAGGGGAAUGCAGGUGGGGCAGUGAAGGAGAAAGAGAUUCCUAGAAGCCUCGAGUGGGGGAACCAGCAUCACUACCAGAUUCCCUCAUGUCUGCAGUGUGAAGUGGUGGCAAGAGCCCCCCACAUUGGGACCCAGAAAACCUGUGAUAAAAUCCAAGCUGUUUUCAGAUGUGUAGCCUUUACCAUUUUGAGCCUCAGUUUUCUUAUUUCUAAGUAAGCAUAAAUAUCUUCCUGCCUACCCUAUAGGGUUACUGUGAAAUUACAUUUAUAUCAUGUAUAUGAAUGUUCAUGUAUAUACUGGAAAGCAAAAUAAAAAUAUAAAAUAGCAUGAAAAAAGUAGUGAGGAGAAGGUACUUGAUAUUUUGUGAUAGAAGUGCUGGAUAUUUCCCAUUUGCUCACCCAACUCUACUUUCUACUCUGAUCCAUAUCCUAAAGGCUGAAUUGUCUGAAUUGCAUCACUGGGUUCCCUUGCCUUUCGGCUGCUGGUUGAGUUUAAAAAGGAGCAACAGAAGGAAUUGGAUAGGGGUAGAUUUUGAUGAUUAG
ensembl:lncRNA novel transcript